AACGAACGCUGGCGGCAUGCCUAACACAUGCCAGUCGAACGAGACCUUCGGGUCUAGUGGCGCACGGGUGCGUAACGCGUGGGAACCUGCCCUUAGGUUCGGAAUAACUCCCCGAAAGGGGUGCUAAUACCGGAUAAUGUCUUCGGACCAAAGAUUUAUCGCCUUUGGAUGGGCCCGCGUUGGAUUAGCUAGUUGGUAGGGUAAAAGCCUACCAAGGCGACGAUCCAUAGCUGGUCUGAGAGGAUGAUCAGCCACACUGGGACUGAGACACGGCCCAGACUACUACGGGAGGCAGCAGUGGGGAAUAUUGGACAAUGGGCGAAAGCCUGAUCCAGCAAUGACGCGUGAGUGAUGAAGGCCUUAGGGUUGUAAAGCUCUUUUACCCGGGAUGAUAAUGACAGUACCGGGAGAAUAAGCUCCGGCUAACUCCGUG
rnacentral:rRNA from 1 species